CAGGUUCAGCUCAUGCUGCAGUGGGACAGGUGGGCCCCUUCUGCACCCAGGUGGCAGCUCAAUUGCUGGCAAGGUGGAAGCUAGGAAUGGGUAGUUAGCCCUGAUCCCCAGCACCUGGUUCAAAGGCCAUUUAAGAAGCCAGAGAGACACCUGCAUGUUUGGAAAGAGCAGGAAGAUCUCCAUGCUUGGUUUGAAGGAGCUCUUGAAUCCUGCUGAGAGGCUCUGGAGUGCUUAUGUUACAUUUGCUGAAGAAUCUAUCAUCCUGAAAGAUAACCUGAUCCUGGAACGACCUGCAAACUGUCCACUAAGGCCAAGUGAUGGAUGUCUUUAGCUAUGAACUGCAUGCCUUGUUUCACCAAAGUUCCCUUUAAAAUGAAAUUCUGUGAAGUAUUAAACACACAGGGCUUAUUCACUUGUUUGUGUUGGAUAAGUGAAUUAGAUGCUUGUGGAAAAUGCCAGAUGGGCUGCAUGGGAGCCAGGAAGUCUCUGUCUCUCCACCAAGCAGCAACAGUGUUUACUUGCCAGAUUGUGCUGUCAAAAUGCCCUAACCUGACCCAUAGCCUUCUCUCUUGGACUGAUACAAUGAUCUUCACUUUGAGAGAAGAAACAGACAUUUCUAACAGUAGAGAGACUUCACAAGUACUGCCUGAAAAUUAUGGCUCUUCGCUGUCUAUGGACUAUUAACCAUGAUUGUAUGUCAACCAUAUAUUUUAUCUGAAUUUCUUACACAAAUGAAUCUCGCAUAUUGUUUUAUAUUGCUGUUAGUACUGCUGUGUGCCUCAGAGGCUUUAAUAAAACAUACCUGCACUUGGCC
rnacentral:lncRNA from 1 species